ACGUAGGUCACGAGCGUUGUCCGGAAUUACUGGGUGUAAAGGGAGCGCAGGCGGGAAGACAAGUUGGAAGUGAAAUCCAUGGGCUCAACCCAUGAACUGCUUUCAAAACUGUUUUUCUUGAGUAGUGCAGAGGUAGGCGGAAUUCCCGGUGUAGCGGUGGAAUGCGUAGAUAUCGGGAGGAACACCAGUGGCGAAGGCGGCCUACUGGGCACCAACUGACGCUGAGGCUCGAAAGUGUGGGUAGCAAACAG
rnacentral:rRNA from 1 species